UAAUUCCUGCGGUGUGCGUGUUACUGGAAAUGUCUUGAGCCAACGUUCUUAUCCCGCGAGAGGCUGCUCCAGACCGGCGGAAGCGACGCAAGUUGCUCAAGCUAAGGACUGGGGGCUUCUCAUCCUUUUAGGAGCGGGUCAAGACACUCCGUCCACGGCAUUGCGGGUCUUAU
rnacentral:other from 1 species